GGAAGUCGGAAUCUGCUAAGGAGUGUGUAACAACUCAUCUGCCGAAUCAACUAGCCCUGAAAAUGGAUGGCGCUGGAGCGUCGGGCCCAUACCUGGCCGUCGCUGGCAAUGCAGAGCCCGCGACUGCCGGAUAUGGGCC